rnacentral:rRNA from 1 species
UACGGGGGGGGCAAGCGUUGUUCGGAAUUACUGGGCGUAAAGGGCUCGUAGGCGGCCAACUAAGUCAUACGUGAAAUCCCUCGGCUUAACCGGGGAACUGCGUCUGAUACUGGAUGGCUUGAGUUCGGGAGAGGGAUGCGGAAUUCCAGGUGUAGCGGUGAAAUGCGUAGAUAUCUGGAGGAACACCGGUGGCGAAGGCGGCAUCCUGGACCGACACUGACGCUGAGGAGCGAAAGCCAGGGGAGCGAACAGG